GGGGUUGUGGCUCAGCGGUAGAGCAUUCAGUUAGCACAUGCAAGGCCCUGAGUUUAAUCCUCAGCAUCACAU
rnacentral:tRNA from 1 species